GGGGAAUAUUGCACAAUGGGGGAAACCCUGAUGCAGCGACGCCGCGUGGAGGAAGAAGGUCUUCGGAUUGUAAACUCCUGUUGUUGAGGAAGAUAAUGACGGUACUCAACAAGGAAGUGACGGCUAACUACGUGCCAGCAGCCGCGGUAAAACGUAGGUCACAAGCGUUGUCCGGAAUUACUGGGUGUAAAGGGAGCGCAGGCGGGCGAUCAAGUUGGAAGUGAAAUCCAUGGGCUCAACCCAUGAACUGCUUUCAAAACUGGUCGUCUUGAGUAGUGCAGAGGUAGGCGGAAUUCCCGGUGUAGCGGUGGAAUGCGUAGAUAUCGGGAGGAACACCAGUGGCGAAGGCGGCCUACUGGGCACCAACUGACGCUGAGGCUCGAAAGUGUGGGUAGCAAACAGGAUUAGAUACCCUGGUAGUCCACACCGUAAACGAUGAUUACUAGGUGUUGGAGGAUUGACCCCUUCAGUGCCGCAGUUAACACAAUAAGUAAUCCACCUGGGGAGUACGACCGCAAGGUUGAAACUCAAAGGAAUUGACGGGGGCCCGCACAAGCAGUGGAGUAUGUGGUUUAAUUCGACGCAACGCGAAGAACCUUACCAAGUCUUGACAUCCUGCGACGAUGCUAGAAAUAGUAUUUUCCUUCGGGACGCAGAGACAGGUGGUGCAUGGUUGUCGUCAGCUCGUGUCGUGAGAUGUUGGGUUAAGUCCCGCAACGAGCGCAACCCUUAUGGUCAGUUACUACGCAAGAGGACUCUGGCCAGACUGCCGUUGACAAAACGGAGGAAGGUGGGGAUGACGUCAAAUCAUCAUGCCCUUUAUGACUUGGGCUACACACGUACUACAAUGGCGUUAAACAAAGAGAAGCAAGACCGCGAGGUGGAGCAAAACUCAGAAACAACGUCCCAGUUCGGACUGCAGGCUGCAACUCGCCUGCACGAAGUCGGAAUUGCUAGUAAUCGCAGAUCAGCAUGCUGCGGUGAAUACGUUCCCG
rnacentral:rRNA from 1 species